rnacentral:rRNA from 1 species
AGAGUUUGAUCCUGGCUCAGGACGAACGCUGGCGGCGAGCGGCGAACGGGUGAGUAAUGCAUCGGAACAUGUCCAUGUCGUGGGGGAUAGCCCGGCGAAAGCCGGAUUAAUACCGCAUACGCCCGAGAGGGGAAAGUGGGGGACCGCAAGGCCUCACGCGAUUGGGUUGGCUGAUGUCCGAUUAGCUUGUUGGUGAGGUAAAGGCUUACCAAGGCGAUGAUCGGUAGCUGGUCUGAGAGGAUGAUCAGCCACACUGGGACUGAGACGCGGCCCAGACUCCUACGGGAGGCAGCAGUGGGGAAUUUUGGACAAUGGGGGCAACCCUGAUCCAGCCAUUCCGCGUGAGUGAAGAAGGCCUUCGGGUUGUAAAGCUCUUUUGUCCGGAGCGAAACGGUUACGGUGAAUAUCCGUGACUACUGACGGUACCGGAAGAAUAAGCACCGGCUAACUACGUGCCAGCAGCCGCGGUAAUACGUAGGGUGCGAGCGUUAAUCGGAAUUACUGGGCGUAAAGCGUGCGCAGGCGGUUUUGUAAGCCAGAUGUGAAAUCCCCGGGCUUAACCUGGGAAUGGCAUUUGGGACUGCAAGGCUGGAGUAUGGCAGAGGGGACUAGAAUUCCUGGUGUAGCAGUGAAAUGCGUAGAUAUCAGGAGGAAUACCGAUGGCGAAGGCAGGUCCCUGGGCUAAUACUGACGCUCAUGCACGAAAGCGUGGGGAGCAAACAGGAUUAGAUACCCUGGUAG